CCUAGUUGAUCUGCCAAUAGUCAUAUGCUUGUUUCAAAGAUUAAGCCACACAUGUAUAAGUAUAAAGUAAUUCAAAUCGUGAAAUUAUGAAUGGCUCAUUAAAUUAGUUAUAAUUUGUUUGACAGUAUCUAUUACUUAGAUAAUCAUAGUAAUUCUAAAACUAAUACAUGUAACAAAUCUCAACUUCUGGAAGGGAUGCAUUUAUUAGAUAAAAAGUCGAUGUAGGCUUAGCCAGCUACUCGGAUAAUUCAUGAUAACUUGACAGAUUUCACAGCCUUUGUGCUGACAACACAUCAUUCAAAUGUUUACCCUUUCAACUUUUGAUGGUAAGAUAAUGGCCUAUUAUGGUGGUGAUGGGUGAUAGAGAAUUAGGGUUUGAUUUCGAAGAAGGAGCCUGAGAAAUGGCUACCACAUCUAAGGAAGGUAAUAGGCGUGUAAAUUACAUAAUCCCGACAAUGAGAGGUAGUGACAAUAAAUAACAAUACUAGGCUCUAUGAGUUUGGUAAUUAGAAUGAGUACAAUCUAAAUCCCUUAACAAAGAUCCAUUGGAAGGCAAGUCUGGUGCCAACAACAGUGGUAAUUCCAGCUCUAAUAGGGUAUAUUUAAGUUAUUGUAGUUAAAAAGCUCAUAGUUGGAACUAGGGUUAGGUCAUUUGGUCCACCUCAUGGUGAGCACCAAUCUAUUUGUCCUUACUACCAGUGAUGCACUCUAGGCCUUAACUGGCUGAGUCAUUCCUCUGGUGCUAUUACUUUGAAGAAAUUAGAGUGCUUAAAGUAGGCCUACACUAGUAUACAUUAGCAUGGGAUAACAUUAUAGGAUUUUGGUCCUAUUAUGUUGGCCUUUAGGAUUAAAGUAAUGAUUAAUCGAGAUAGUCAAGGGCAUUCGCAUACAUAAUCAGAGGUGAAAUUCUUGGAUUUAUAAAAGAUGAACAAUUUCAAAAGCAUUUGCCAAGGAUGUUUUCAUUAAUUAAGAACAAAAGUUGGGGGCUAAAAACUGAUCAAAUACCAUCCUAGUCUCAACCAUAAAUGAUGUCAACUAGGGAUCAACAGAUGUUACUUUUAGGACUCCGUUGGCACCUUAUGAGAAAUGAAAGUCUUUGGGUUCUGAGGGAAGUAUGGUCACAAAGUUGAAACUUAAAGGAAUUGACAGAAAGGCACCACUAGGAGUGGAACCUACAACUUAAUUUGACUCAACACAAGGAAACUUUUUAGGUCUAGACAUAGUAAAGAUUGACAGACUAAGAGCUCUUUCUUGAUUCUAUAGGUGGUGGUGUAUGGUUGUUCUUAAUUGGUGGAGUGAUUUGUCUGCUUAAUUAUGUUAAAGAAUGAGACCUCAGCCUACUAACUAGCUAUGCGGAGGUGAUCCUUCAUGGCUAGCUUCUUAGAGGAACUAUGGCUGCUUAGGCCAAGGAAGUUUGAGGCAAUAAUAUAUUUGUGAUGCCCUUAGAUGUUUUAGGCUACACACGUGCUACAUUGAUGCAUUCAAUGAGUCUAUAGCCUUGGUUGAUAGGUUUAGGUAAUCUUUGAAAUUUCAUCAUGAUGGGGAUAGAUCUUUGAAAUUGUUGGUUUUCAACAAGGAAUUCCUAGUAAACGUGAGUCUUUAGAUCAUAUUGACUAUGUCCCUACCUUUUAUACACACCACCUGUCACAAUGUAGAUGGUUCGCUACCCUACAACAUCAUAAGAAAUCCACUGAAUCAUAUCAUUUAGAGGAAAAAAAGUCAUAACAAGGUUUUCUGUAGGUGAACCUGUGGAAA
rnacentral:rRNA from 1 species